CACUUUUUAAACUCCCUGGCAGUGAACACGUAGAGCCAGCAAGUGGACAGCAAUGCUGGCAGACAUUUAUCUCUGCACAGCACUUUGAAGGGCUGCGUGGAGGCUACUGCUGUGACCCAGCACUGGAAAGUGGGAUAGCCAGACUCAUUCCACUGUUGGCCUGCAAUUUCUAUUUUAAUUAUUUUCUUGGCAUGUUUAAAGAAUUGCAAUAGAUCACCUUCAGUCCAGCUCUUCAUGGGUCAGAGUACACAUGUACAUAAGGUUCCUACAUAGAUGUAUGUAAGCUGGCUGAGGAACAGGGGGACAAUGAACUACUGAGAUCUAAACUGGUAAACAAGAUUGAUUUCUGUUAAAGUCACUGGGGCACAAGAAGAGAGAGAGCACAAGGAAAAAAAGAAGUAAGGGCCUUGCCUUGGACAACUUGCAGACUGAAUGUCCUUCUAGUAUGGAUGGAAAGACCUUUCUUGUAAAAAAAACGUGAUAUUGUUCAAUCACAUUCUGCUGAUAUUCCACACUAAUUCAUUUGGUAGAUAGGCAAGUGUAACACAAAGAUCAAAUGAUACCACAUCACAUAAGAAACCUAUGUCAAAUAUGCAAAUGCAACAAUUAUCUGUUUUGUUUUUCCAUCUCUUAAAUCCUAGAUUCCCUCAGCAGAUUCAAAGCAUAGUAGCAUAACUGUUUGAAUAGCUAUUCUACAUUAUAAGUUGACAGAAUAAAUAGAAUUAAACAACCAUACUGAGACAAAGGGAGGGAGGUUGACUAAUUGCAACAUUCUUCAGUCCCUUAGGAUUUGACAUAAUCCUCAGCAGUGUUGUACCCCUUGGGGAAAAAGUGGACUCAUUCAUUUUAAAAGAGAAGAAUAAAUUAAAGGCAGUUAUCAAUCCAAUUUUAAGUUAAAUAUCCCAAUGGGAUAAAAAUAUCAUGAAGAAAAUUAAACACAAGAGGGAAAUACAGUAGAAUGUUUAAAUAGGGAAGGGGAGAAUUAAUAAUGAGAAGAAAAUUAACUGAGAUAUUUCUUCUGUGAUAUUCACUUAUGUUUUUCCCUAUUGACAGGGAAAAAAAAGUUACAGGUACUUUUAGGUCUACCAUGCCAUGAAUUAGGUGAAAGCAAGGCUUGGGACAUGUUAUUACUACUUGUAACAUCUGGUCCCUAACACAUUCUUCUUUGAUCAACAGUAUGUCAUGUGUUAUAGUGAAGCAGAUUGCAUAGUUCAUCCUUACUGAACCUUCACCCCCAGGACGUCAUGUGAAAGGCAAACUCCAUCUGCCUCAGAGAAAUCAAAAAUAAUCUGAAAUGUAGAAAUUCACUGUGGUUAUGUCAGGAAUCAGUGUUACAAGCUGGUAUAGGAAUAAAGUAUUGCUACUUUUGCAAAAGCAGAUCAAGCUCUUUUUAUAGAUGAUGAUUUGAAAAAUUUAAUCUCUUUCGUAUGAAUUUUUCUCCUUCAUUUCACAAGUUUUUGAUGAAGUGUGCGAAUUAUUGCAUGAACCUGGGGCCAGGCAUAACAUGCAGCAGGUGCUGUAGAGUCUUGUUUCUGUGAUUAGAUUGAACCUUAAUUACACAUAACUCAAUAAACACUUCUCUCACAGCUUCCAGAACUUG